rnacentral:tRNA from 1 species
UUGGUAGAAGCCAAAAAGAGGCCUAUCACUGUUAAUGAUUUCAUUGAAGUCAAUCUUCCUACCAAG